UUAUCACUCGGGAAACAACAACGGAAACAACAACACCCUUGCAACAAUCCUGCAACGGCACACAUGACCUGAACGGUGACAGCGGCUUCAUCACCCCCGUCCCCGUCAACGCCUCCUACGAGAAUAAUAUGGACUGCGAGUGGCGGAUAACGACUCCCGAAGGCACCAAGGUCGUCCUCGAUUUCUUCUCCUUCGAUCUGGAGGAUGACCCGGACUGCAGCUUCGAUUACCUGGAGGUGGAGGACCUGGUGACGGGUCUCUCUCUUGGAAGAGGGCGCAGUGGUUAAGCGACCUGCCAGAACAUUC
rnacentral:lncRNA from 1 species